GCCCUCUUAGCUCAGCCGGAUAGAGCAGCCGCCUCCUAAGCGGCAGGUCGCAGGUUCGAAUCCUGCAGAGGGCGCCA
rnacentral:tRNA from 2 species